rnacentral:rRNA from 1 species
UACAGAGGGUGCGAGCGUUAAUCGGAAUUACUGGGCGUAAAGCGCGCGUAGGCGGCUUUUCAAGUCUGUUGUGAAAGCCCCGGGCUCAACCUGGGAAUGGCAAUGGAUACUGGCGAGCUAGAGUGUGUCAGAGGAUGGUGGAAUUCCCGGUGUAGCGGUGAAAUGCGUAGAGAUCGGGAGGAACAUCAGUGGCGAAGGCGGCCAUCUGGGACAACACUGACGCUGAGGCACGAAAGCGUGGGGAGCAAACAGGG